GACGAACGCUGGCGGCGUGCCUAAUACAUGCAAGUAGGACGCUGAAGGAGGAUCUUGCUUCUCUGGAUGAGUUGCGAACGGGUGAGUAACGCGUAGGUAACCUGCCUGUUAGCGGGGGAUAACUAUUGGAAACGAUAGCUCAUACCGCAUAAUAGUAGAUGUUGCAUGACAUUUGCUUAAAAGGUGCAAUUGCAUCACUACCAGAUGGACCUGCGUUGGAUUAGCUAGUUGGUGGGGUAACGGCUCACCAAGGCGACGAUACAUAGCCGACCGGAGAGGGUGAGCGGCCACACUGGGACUGAGACAGGGCCCAGACUCCUACGGGAGGGAGCAGUAGGGAAUAGGAGGAAAUGGACGGAAGUCUGAGCGAGAAACGCCGAGGGAGUGAAGAAGGUGAUCGGAUCGUAAAGCUCAGUUGUAAGAGAAGAACGAGUGUGAGAGGGGAAAGUUCACACUGUGACGGUAUCUUAUCAGAAAGGGACGGCUAACUACGUG
rnacentral:rRNA from 1 species